AUCCCUAUUGCUUAAUCAAAUUGAGCCAAUUAAUAAUCAAAUUAUCAAUUAAUUAUACUUCUACUUUAUCAACUAUUAGUAAAUAAUUUAUUAUAAUCUUUGCAUAGGAUUAUUCAUCAAUCACAUUGAUAAUUAAACCCUUCAAUGAUUUAUAAUUGUCGAUCAACCAUUUGAUCAGACAGGUACUUCUAUGUGUAUGACCCCAU
rnacentral:lncRNA from 1 species